GAUGAAGAACGUAUCGAAAUGCGAUAAGUAAUGUGAAUUGCAGAAUUCAGUGAAUCAUCGAAUCUUUGAACGCACAUUGCGCCCCCUGGUAUUCCGGGGGGCAUGCCUGUCCGAGCGUCAUUACAACCCUCAAGCUCAGCUUGGUAUUGGGCCCCGCCGCUCCGGCGGGCCCUAAAGUCAGUGGCGGUGCCGUCCGGCUCCGAGCGUAGUAAUUCUUCUCGCUCUGGAGGUCCGGUCGUGUGCUCGCCAGCAACCCCCAAUUUUUUUCAGGUUGACCUCGGAUCAGGUAGGGAUACCCGCUGAACUUAAGCAUAUCAAUAAGCGGAGGA
rnacentral:misc_RNA from 1 species